rnacentral:rRNA from 1 species
UACGGAGGGUGCGAGCGUUAAUCGGAAUCACUGGGCGUAAAGCGCGCGUAGGCGGCUUUUCAAGUCAGGGGUGAAAUCCCACGGCCCAACCGUGGAACUGCCUUUGAAACUGUAGAGCUUGAGUGUCGGAGAGGGUGGCGGAAUUCCAGGUGUAGGAGUGAAAUCCGUAGAUAUCUGGAGGAACGCCGGUGGCGAAGGCGGCCACCUGGACGACAACCGACGCUGAGGUGCGAAAGCGUGGGUAGCAAACAGG